AACGAACGCUGGCGGCAUGCCUAACACAUGCAAGUCGAACGAGACCUUCGGGUCUAGUGGCGCACGGGUGCGUAACGCGUGGGAACCUGCCCUUAGGUUCGGAAUAACUCCCGAAAGGGGUGCUAAUACCGGAUAAUGUCUUCGGACCAAAGAUUUAUCGCCUUUGGAUGGGCCCCGGUUGGAUUAGCCAGUUGGUAGGGUAAAAGCCUACCAAGGCGACGAUCCAUAGCUGGUCUGAGAGGAUGAUCAGCCACACUGGGACUGAGACACGGCCCAGACUCCUACGGGAGGCAGCAGUGGGGAAUAUUGGACAAUGGGCGAAAGCCUGAUCCAGCAAUGCCGCGUGAGUGAUGAAGGCCUUAGGGUUGUAAAGCUCUUUUACCCGGGAUGAUAAUGACAGUACCGGGAGAAUAAGCUCCGGCUAACUCCGUG
rnacentral:rRNA from 1 species